AACGUAGGUCACAAGCGUUGUCCGGAAUUACUGGGUGUAAAGGGAGCGCAGGCGGGAAGACAAGUUGGAAGUGAAAUCUAUGGGCUUAACCCAUAAACUGCUUUCAAAACUGUUUUUCUUGAGUAGUGCAGAGGUAGGCGGAAUUCCCGGUGUAGCGGUGGAAUGCGUAGAUAUCGGGAGGAACACCAGUGGCGAAGGCGGCCUACUGGGCACCAACUGACGCUGAGGCUCGAAAGUGUGGGUAGCAAACAGG
rnacentral:rRNA from 1 species